AACGAACGCUGGCGGCAGGCUUAACACAUGCAAGUCGAACGCCCCGCAAGGGGAGUGGCAGACGGGUGAGUAACGCGUGGGAACAUACCCUUUUCUACGGAAUAGCUCUGGGAAACUAGAAUUAAUACCGUAUACGCCCUACGGGGGAAAGAUUUAUCGGGGAAGGAUUGGCCCGCGUUGGAUUAGCUAGUUGGUGGGGUAAAGGCCUACCAAGGCGACGAUCCAUAGCUGGUCUGAGAGGAUGAUCAGCCACAUUGGGACUGAGACACGGCCCAAACUCCUACGGGAGGCAGCAGUGGGGAAUAUUGGACAAUGGGCGCAAGCCUGAUCCAGCCAUGCCGCGUGAGUGAUGAAGGCCUUAGGGUUGUAAAGCUCUUUCACCGAUGAAGAUAAUGACGGUAGUCGGAGAAGAAGCCCCGGCUAACUUCGUGCCAGCCGCCGCAGUAAUAC
rnacentral:rRNA from 1 species